UGGGGAAUAUUGGACAAUGGGCGCAAGCCUGAUCCAGCAAUGCCGCGUGGGUGAUGAAGGCCCUCGGGUUGUAAAGCCCUUUCGCGCGCGACGAUGAUGACGGUAGCGCGAGAAGAAGCCCCGGCUAACUUCGUGCCAGCAGCCGCGGUAAUACGAAGGGGGCGAGCGUUGUUCGGAAUUACUGGGCGUAAAGGGCGCGUAGGCGGCGGUCCAAGUCAGGCGUGAAAGCCCCGGGCUCAACCUGGGAGGUGCGCUUGAGACUGGGCCGCUCGAGUUCGGGAGAGGACGGCGGAAUUCCCAGUGUAGAGGUGAAAUUCGUAGAUAUUGGGAAGAACACCGACGGCGAAGGCAGCCGUCUGGACCGACACUGACGCUGAGGCGCGAAAGCGUGGGGAGCAAACAGG
rnacentral:rRNA from 1 species